rnacentral:lncRNA from 1 species
AGGGUCCCGCCGGGAAGGACGGCUUGCCGGGACACCCAGGGCAGCGCGGAGAGCUGGCCCCACUGGGGUGGUGGGACCCCAGGGUAAAUCAGGCGAGACCGGGCCAGUGGGCGAGAGGGGGCACCCAGGCCCCCCCGGCCCCCCGGGGGAGCAGGGGCUGCCCGGAGCUGCUGGCCGAGAAGGAGCCAAGGUAGGAGCCCCUCCGGGGUCCGAGCGCCAGCGCAGCCCGCUGCCG